rnacentral:rRNA from 1 species
UACAGAGGGUGCGAGCGUUGUUCGGAAUUACUGGGCGUAAAGCGUGCGCAGGCGGUUUUGUAAGCCAGAUGUGAAAUCCCCGGGCUUAACCUGGGAAUGGCAUUUGGGACUGCAAGGCUUGAGUGCGGCAGAGGAGACUGGAAUUCCUGGUGUAGCAGUGAAAUGCGUAGAUAUCGGGAGGAACACCAGUGGCGAAGGCGGCCUUCUGGACCAGUACUGACGCUCAUGCACGAAAGCGUGGGGAGCAAACAGG